UUGAUCCUGGCUCAGGAUGAACGCUGGCGGCGUGCUUAACACAUGCAAGUCGAGCGAAGCGCUUAAGUUUGAUUCUUCGGAUGAAGACUUUUGUGACUGAGCGGCGGACGGGUGAGUAACGCGUGGGUAACCUGCCUCAUACAGGGGGAUAACAGUUAGAAAUGACUGCUAAUACCGCAUAAGACCACGGUACCGCAUGGUACAGUGGUAAAAACUCCGGUGGUAUGAGAUGGACCCGCGUCUGAUUAGGUAGUUGGUGGGGUAACGGCCUACCAAGCCGACGAUCAGUAGCCGACCUGAGAGGGUGACCGGCCACAUUGGGACUGAGACACGGCCCAGACUCCUACGGGAGGCAGCAGUGGGGAAUAUUGCACAAUGGAGGAAACUCUGAUGCAGCGACGCCGCGUGAAGGAUGAAGUAUUUCGGUAUGUAAACUUCUAUCAGCAGGGAAGAAAAUGACGGUACCUGACUAAGAAGCCCCGGCUAACUACGUGCCAGCAGCCGCGGUAAUACGUAGGGGGCAAGCGUUAUCCGGAUUUACUGGGUGUAAAGGGAGCGUAGACGGCACGGCAAGCCAGAUGUGAAAGCCCGGGGCUCAACCCCGGGACUGCAUUUGGAACUGCUGAGCUAGAGUGUCGGAGAGGCAAGUGGAAUUCCUAGUGUAGCGGUGAAAUGCGUAGAUAUUAGGAGGAACACCAGUGGCGAAGGCGGCUUGCUGGACGAUGACUGACGUUGAGGCUCGAAAGCGUGGGGAGCAAACAGGAUUAGGUACCCUGGUAGUCCACGCCGUAAACGAUGACUGCUAGGUGUCGGGUGGCAAAGCCAUUCGGUGCCGCAGCUAACGCAAUAAGCAUCCACCUGGGGAGUACGUUCGCAAGAAUGAAACUCAAAGGAAUUGACGGGGACCCGCACAAGCGGUGGAGCAUGUGGNUUAAUUCGAAGCAACGCGAAGAACCUUACCUGAUCUUGACAUCCCGAUGACCGCUUCGUAAUGGAAGCUUUUCUUCGGAACAUCGGUGACAGGUGGUGCAUGGUUGUCGUCAGCUCGUGUCGUGAGAUGUUGGGUUAAGUCCCGCAACGAGCGCAACCCCUAUCUUCAGUAGCCAGCAGGUUAAGCUGGGCACUCUGGAGAGACUGCCAGGGAUAACCUGGAGGAAGGUGGGGAUGACGUCAAAUCAUCAUGCCCCUUAUGACCAGGGCUACACACGUGCUACAAUGGCGUAAACAAAGAGAAGCGAACUCGCGAGGGUAAGCAAAUCUCAAAAAUAACGUCUCAGUUCGGAUUGUAGUCUGCAACUCGACUACAUGAAGCUGGAAUCGCUAGUAAUCGCAGAUCAGAAUGCUGCGGUGAAUACGUUCCCGAGUGU
rnacentral:rRNA from 1 species